CCUACGGGAGGCAGCAGUGAGGAAUAUUGGUCAAUGGGCGAGAGCCUGAACCAGCCAAGUCGCGUGAAGGAAGACGGCCCUACGGGUUGUAAACCGCUUUUGUCGGGGAGCAAAGCGCCUUACGUGUAGCGCAUUGAGUGUACCCGAUGAAUAAGCAUCGGCUAACUCCGUGCCAGCAGCCGCGGUAAUACGGAGGAUCCGAGCGUUAUCCGGAUUUAUUGGGUUUAAAGGGUGCGCAGGCGGCGGGUCAAGUGAGCGGUCAAAGUGCGGGGCUAAACCCCGGCCUGCCGGGGAAACUUGAGUGCUUGAGGGCGCGAGAAGCAGGCGGAAUGCGUGGUGUAGCGGUGAAAUGCAUAGAUAUGACGAAGAACCCCGAUUGCGAAGGCAGCAUGCCGGAGCGCAACUGACGCUCAUGCACGAAAGCGUGGGUAUCGAACAGGAUUAGAUACCCGUGUAGUC
rnacentral:rRNA from 1 species